AUUUUCCCAAAGCACUAAACUUCCAUUUCAACUUUCCUCUGAAUUUCACUUGCUUUCAAUUUCUUUUUCUCAACUUUUCCAUUUUUGAUCUCAAGCUUUUUCAUUGUCGUGCUUCAGUUCUCUUUCUCAUCUUCACCAUUUGCGGUUUUCAUCAAAGCUUCAUUAAUGGUGGAAAACAAUGAUGUUGAAGAAGACAACAAAAUUGAGACUAAAGAAGGAAUGGUUUAAAAAUUGGAAAAGAUAAGUGAUGAUGCUAUCUUGACCUCUGUAUUCGCAAAGAAGAUCAAAAAAGGUUCCUUCUAAGGAUCAAAAUGACAACCCUUAAUAGUCAAAGGUGGUUGAUUAUGUACCCAAACAAAGGGCUUAUAGUAGUAGGAAUUAUAAUAUUGUGUAUUUCGAUU